AAUCGACCAGGCGAUUUAAAAAAGCGGUUAGGCCUGGUGCGGCGGUCCCUUGGGGCCGCGUCCAA
rnacentral:ribozyme from 1 species